GGUUUCCUACGGGACGCAGCAGUGGGGGAUAUUGCACAAUGGGGGAAACCCUGAUGCAGCGACGCCGCGUGAGUGAAGAAGUAUUUCGGUACGUAAAGCUCUAUCAGCAGGGAAGAAUAAUGACGGUACCUGACUAAGAAGCCCCGGCUAACUACGUGCCAGCAGCCGCGGUAAUACGUAGGGGGCAAGCGUUAUCCAGAUUUACUGGGUGUAAAGGGAGCGUAGACGGCUGUGCAAGUCUGAAGUGAAAUGCAGGGGCCCAACCCCGGAACUGCUUUGGAAACUGUAAAGCUAGAGUGCAGGAG
rnacentral:rRNA from 1 species